GUGAGUAACACGUAGACAACCUACCCUUAAGCGGGGGACAACCCAGGGAAACUUGGGCUAAUACCGCAUGAGACCACGAACUGGGAUGUUAGUGGUAAAAGGCCAAGUUGAAAGAUUUGGUUGCUUAGGGAUGGGUCUGCGGCCUAUCAGGUAGUUGGUGGGGUAAAGGCCUACCAAGCCAGAGACGGGUAGCCGGUCUGAGAGGACGAACGGCCACACUGGAACUGAGGCACGGUCCAGACUUCUACGGGAGGCAGCAGUGGGGAAUCUUGCACAAUGGGCGAAAGCCUGAUGCAGCGACGCCGCGUGGAGGACGAAGGCCUUCGGGUUGUAAACUUCUUUUGUAGGGGACAAUGAUGAUGGUACCCUAUGAAUAAGCCACGGCUAACUCUGUGCCAGCAGCCGCGGUAAGACAGAGGUGGCGAGCGUUGUUCGGAAUUACUGGGCUUAAAGGGCGCGUAGGCGGUGGUGCAAGUCUGGGGUGGAAUUCUAUGGCUUAACUAUAGGACUGCCCUGGAAACUGCAUUACUUGAGUCGGUGAGGGGAAGGCGGAAUUCCUGGUGUAGCGGUGAAAUGCGUAGAUAUCAGGAGGAAGGCCUGUGGUGAAGACGGCCUUCUGGCACUUGACUGACGCUGAGGCGCGAAAGCGUGGGUAGCAAACAGGAUUAGAUACCCU
rnacentral:rRNA from 1 species